rnacentral:rRNA from 1 species
GGCCUACGGUAGGCAGCAGUGAGGAAUAUUGGUCAAUGGGCGGACGCCUACACCAGCCAAGUCGCGUGAGGGAAUAAGGCCCUACGGGUCGUAAACCUCUUUUGCCGGGGAGCAAGGGCCGGGACGCGUCCCGGCCCGGAGAGUACCCGGAGAAAAAGCAUCGGCUAACUCCGUGCCAGCAGCCGCGGUAAUACGGAGGAUGCGAGCGUUAUCCGGAUUUAUUGGGUUUAAAGGGUGCGUAGGCGGGCUUUUAAGUCAGCGGUAAAAAUUCGGGGCUCAACCCCGUCCGGCCGUUGAAACUGGGG